GCCCCUUCACACAAAACGCCUUUGAAGUUCCUUUUCUGAGUUCUCAACUUGAUCACCAGGAGAGAAGGCCAGAUCUCACACAGGCACAUUACGUGUUUCUGAGUUCAGCCUCCAUCCGUCCGACCGCUGGAGGAGGAUAAAUGGAGGAGGGAGUGCUGGCAGGUCAGAGAAGUGGACGUGAUGAUGGUGAUGGACAGAAGGCGAGCAGGCCUUGGACUGGCCGGUAAAGGGAUAUACAAUACAUCAGAGAAGAUAACAAGAGGAGUUCAGAGACCCAGGGGCAACACAUUGUUUCUGGCGCCUGACAAUUUGGGGUUCAGCACGGGGCUUGCUUUGGGGUGUCGCCAGCGGACAGUGUCUGAGGAGCUGGACCGGAGGAGCGAAGAGCCAGCAUAUCGUGUCAGAGGAGCUGGACCGGAGGAGCGAGGAGUCAGCAGACAGUGUCAGAGGAGCCGGACCGGAGGAGCGAGGAGUCAGCAUGCUCCCCACAGUGCCCGGUGCUUUCACCCCCUCCUGCUCCGACAGUCCUGCCGGGUACCCGCCCGUGCCCGCUCUCCCGGCCUCGCUACGGUCCCCCUCUCUCUGACGCCUCAGCCCUGCCCGGCUAAACAGAUGGGACGGCGGGAGAAAUGAAUAAUUAGCCUCUGCACCAGUGGGUCCAAGCUAAUACUCUAAACCAGGUAUGACAUGGGGCCCCCUCCAGGGACCCUACAAAUGUCAUGACGGUAGAUGAGAGUUCUUCAGACGGCUCUUGUCAGGAGCAAACAAGAGAAAGGUUUUAACUCUUCGAAGAGUCACUGGUGUGACUGCCAGCUUUGUCCCUGAGGUUGCAUUUUGUUAACUACAGAAUGCCCAUGUCCUCUCCUCACUCUUUCCUCGCGGUGGCACAGUAAUGACCAGAAGUCCUAGGUAUCCCAGAAGACUUUACUUGGUACUCCCUUCCAAACAAUUUCUUAUUCAACCUCUCUCCCCAUCUAAAAAAAUAAAUAAAAAAAUAAAUUAAAUCACCACUUCUCCACCUCCAGUUUUACAUCCCUCCAUCAGCGGCAUACAGCACACCAUACAUCUAUUUCAGAAAGCAUUACUGUGGGAAUACCACACGUCCCUCUGCAGAGAGAAUCUGUUCUCCUAUAUGGAGAUGGUAUACUGCAUCUUUUCGCUCCCUGUCGCCUGACCUGAGCGGUCCUUCAGAUUCCAAUAGAAGCUGUCACAGAGGACCUGCGCUUCCUGGGAAGCCGAGACAAAAUGGCUCAUAAAGGGGAGAGUAAAGCCAUUUGUGUCUAUUAGGGGGGAAAAGUUUCCGGCGAGCCAGUCUUCCUGCUGCUUUUCGGGAACAUUGGUUGUCACCGAGGCAGAGUCCCAGGAGUUUCCCGACCUCCCCACCUAAGCCACGCUUGUUAGUGUUAUUAUCUCCUCUCCGUACACCUUGCAUUGUUG
ensembl:lncRNA